rnacentral:tRNA from 1 species
GUUACUUUGACAGAAUAGUGUAUUAAAUUUAGAAUUUAAAUAAAAAUAAUUGUUAAGUAUUUAAGUAAUA